UAAAUUUUCUUUAAAAUAUUUAAUGAUGAAUUUCUCCAUUCUGGUUUUUUUUUCUGUUCUCUCAGGGAAUUUCUAUUGUUUGAUUGUUAUAACUCUUGGUAUAGCCACCUAAUUGAAUUUUUUAUUUUCUCUCUUUAUGACAAAGAAUGUUGAUCUCCAUUAUACGAUCUUCCCUUCCUCCUUGAAUUUAUGGAAUCUCCUGGUUUGUAGCUUGGUUCAUGAACAUCCAGCUACUUUCUAAACUUUUCAGCCCUCCUUAUCAUUAAGUAUUGCCAUGGGACUAAGUUCUGGCUAAUGGAAAUGUGAGAAAAAGUUCCUCCCAGAAUCCCUGCAGGCAUACAACAGAUGUUCAGUAAACACUCGGUUGAUGAGAACUCUGGGAAGACAUAGCUGUUCGACGAACAGGCAUCAGAAUUUAUCAUUUGAAAUUAUCAACUCAAAAAUUCUUUUUUUCCUCAUACAUAUUCUGCUUAUGUAUCAAAAAUUAUCAUAAGAAACCAAGAUUUCUCAGAACAUGUGAGGUCAAAAUGGCUUAUAAUGUUAAAAGAAGUGGAGUCUCAAUCUAUACUCAGUAUCUCCCUCUCUUUUAUUCAUACACAUAUGGACACUUGCACUUCUAAGAAAAAAUGAAUUUUUUAAACUCAUUCAUUUAUUAAAUUGAUAUGUAUUAAACCAGGUAAUAUUCAUAACAUAUUCUGGAUAUAAACAUGAACAGGUGAGACAGGCCCCUGCCCUCACAGAACUUAUGUUCUGGUGAGGAGCUUUAACAUGACCUUGGUGUUGGGAUAGGAAGGAAAGCUGUCACACUGAAAGUGAUGCUAUAGAUUCAAAGCCACCAAAUGAUUGAAUACUGCUUCAUCUUUGAUCAGUAGGGAUUGAUGCUAGUUAAUAAGUUAGCCAUUACACUUUGUGUGCUAGAAUUAGAUUAUCUAAAUUACUUAAUGUAUGCCAUUUAAACAAACUAAAUGUGAGAAUGCGAUUACCAUAAAUAAUGUGGUCUAUUCAUUUUUUGCAAAGUAAGAACAUAUAGUCUCCAUUAAUAAAAUACUUUAGUAAAGAUAAAAAUGUUGUAUAUUCACAUUGGUGAAUGCUAUGAAAAAAUGAAAUGAUUAAUUUAAAUGCAAGAUCAUUCUGUAAUCUUAUUUACUGUGCCUCAUAUGUAUUCAAACAAAUGUUUUAAAUAAACAUCCUGUCCAGCAUGUGGUUACUUUGUAAGAGUCAUAAUUUUCCUAAAGUUCUUCAGCAAGUUUCUUCUAAUACAGAAGUGUGCCUUAUGGCUUUGCAUAAUAAUCACAGCAAGCAAAAAUAUUAUUCCUUAGGCGUAUGUUAUGUGAUGAG
rnacentral:lncRNA from 1 species